rnacentral:rRNA from 1 species
GAUGAACGCUGGCGGCGUGCCUAAUACAUGCGAGUCGAGCGAACGGACGAGAAGCUUGCUUCUCUGAUGUUAGCGGCGGACGGGUGAGUAACACGUGGAUAACCUACCUAUAAGACUGGGAUAACUUCGGGAAACCGGAGCUAAUACCGGAUAAUAUUUUGAACCGCAUGGUUCAAAAGUGAAAGACGGUCUUGCUGUCACUUAUAGAUGGAUCCGCGCUGCAUUAGCUAGUUGGUAAGGUAACGGCUUACCAAGGCAACGAUGCAUAGCCGACCUGAGAGGGUGAUCGGCCACACUGGAACUGAGACACGGUCCAGACUCCUACGGGAGGCAGCAGUAGGGAAUCUUCCGCAAUGGGCGAAAGCCUGACGGAGCAACGCCGCGUGAGUGGUGAAGGUCUUCGGAUCGUAAAACUCUGUUAUUAGGGAAGAACAUAUGUGUAAGUAACUGUGCACAUCUUGACGGUACCUAAUCAGAAAGCCACGGCUAACUACGUGCCAGCAGCCGCGGUAAUACGUAGGUGGCAAGCGUUAUCCGGAAUUAUUGGGCGUAAAGCGCGCGUAGGCGGUUUUUUAAGUCUGAUGUGAAAGCCCACGGCUCAACCGUGGAGGGUCAUUGGAAACUGGAAAACUUGAGUGCAGAAGAGGAAAGUGGAAUUCCAUGUGUAGCGGUGAAAUGCGCAGAGAUAUGGAGGAACACCAGUGGCGAAGGCGACUUUCUGGUCUGUAACUGACGCUGAUGUGCGAAAGCGUGGGGAUCAAACAGGAUUAGAUACCCUGGUAGUCCACGCCGUAAACGAUGAGUGCUAAGUGUUAGGGGGUUUCCGCCCCUUAGUGCUGCAGCUAACGCAUUAAGCACUCCGCCUGGGGAGUACGACCGCAAGGUUGAAACUCAAAGGAAUUGACGGGGACCCGCACAAGCGGUGGAGCAUGUGGUUUAAUUCGAAGCAACGCGAAGAACCUUACCAAAUCUUGACAUCCUUUGACAACUCUAGAGAUAGAGCUUUCCCCUUCGGGGGACAAAGUGACAGGUGGUGCAUGGUUGUCGUCAGCUCGUGUCGUGAGAUGUUGGGUUAAGUCCCGCAACGAGCGCAACCCUUAAGCUUAGUUGCCAUCAUUGAGUUGGGCACUCUAAGUUGACUGCCGGUGACAAACCGGAGGAAGGUGGGGAUGACGUCAAAUCAUCAUGCCCCUUAUGAUUUGGGCUACACACGUGCUACAAUGGACAAUACAAAGGGCAGCGAAACCGCGAGGUCAAGCAAAUCCCAUAAAGUUGUUCUCAGUUCGGAUUGUAGUCUGCAACUCGACUACAUGAAGCUGGAAUCGCUAGUAAUCGUAGAUCAGCAUGCUACGGUGAAUACGUUCCCGGGUCU